CACGUAGGGCGCAAGCGUUGUCCGGAAUUAUUGGGCGUAAAGAGCUCGUAGGCGGUCUGUUGCGUCCGCUGUGAAAACUCGGGGCUUAACCCCGAGCCUGCAGUGGAUACGGGCAGACUAGAGGUAGGUAGGGGAGAAUGGAAUUCCCGGUGUAGCGGUGAAAUGCGCAGAUAUCGGGAGGAACACCGGUGGCGAAGGCGGUUCUCUGGGCCUUACAUGACGCUGAGGAGCGAAAGCGUGGGGAGCGAACAGG
rnacentral:rRNA from 1 species